AUGUUUGAAGAGUCAAAUUCCAUCUUUGAGCCAGGUGAGUCUAGAGAAACCAUGGGACCAUUGCACUCACCCACUUCCACAGCGGUGACGAUCAGUGGACGAGGCCAUCCACCACUUUCCACUCCGGUGAGUAUCGCUGGCUCGGUGAUGUUGGGCCCAGGGUUGAGGCUGGCUCGGUGAUGUUAGGCCCAGGGUGUUGAGGCUGGCUCGGUGAUGUUAGGCCCAGGGUUGAGGCUGGCUCUGUGAUGUUGGGCCCAGGGUUGAGUUGCACAUCCCCGGAGAGCAGGAGGGUAGUGAACAGGUAGUUUAACAGUUUCAGAUAAAUGUUGGAAUAAGAAUAGGGAGCGAGGUAGACUUGGCCAUUAUUCAGAACAUUAUGGUGUGCUGUCUGCUGCCGUGGUACGGUGAACCAAUGUGUUUGGUGUUGGUAUUCCCCGGCAGUAGAUUUAUUGUGUCAUCCCAGCAAGGACACACUGAGAUUAUCAUGGCAAAGUACUGGAGAUAAAACACAUAAUUGUGCUUUAACUCUUUGCAUGAGUUACUUAGCUGGGGGUUGGAGUACACCUGAUGGUUUAGAUAAAAUAACAGCAUUCGUAUGAGAAGCGGCACCUGCCGCACCACCCUGUCUUCCGUCCGCCAUUAUCCUGGUUAGGUUUGGUGCAACGACAGUGCUAAAUCAUCACCCGUUUGGCGAAGUAGGCUGUGAUUCGAUGAGAAAUUAACAGGCACCGCAACGAUUAUAUGCAACGCAGGACACGCUAGAUAAACUAGUAAUAUCAUCAACCAUGUGUAGUUAACUAGUGAUUAUGUGAAGAUUGAUUGUUUUUUAUAAGUUUAAUGCUAGCUAGCAACUUACCUUGGCUUCUUGCUGCCCUCGCAUAACAGGUAGUCAGCCUGCCACACAGGCUCCUCGUGGAGUGCAAUGUAGGUGGUUAGAGCGUUGGACUAGUAACCGAAAGGUUGCAAAAACAAACCCCUGAGAUGACAAGGUAAAAAUCUGUCGUUCUGCCCCUGAACAAGGCAGUUAACCCACCGUUCCUAGGCUGUCAUUGAAAAUAAGUAUUAGUUCUUAACUGACUUGCCUCGUUAAAUAAAGGUAUAAAAAAUAAAUCAUCCAAAUCGGUGUCCAAAAAUACCGAUUCCCGAUUGUUAUGAAAACUUAAUCAUCCCUAAUUAAUCGGUCAUUGCGAUUAAUCGGUCGACCUCUAAUCUGUAAUUUCUGCAGAAAAGUCCAACCUGUCUGUAAAAACACGCUCUCUGCUAAAUGCAGCGUGUGACAAAUCUUCCAACAGAGCAAGAUCAGACGUCUCUCAUCCCAUUAUCUUUUAUAGUAUGUCAACAAAGGUUUCACUUGUACCUCUCAUUUAACACAUGACUGUAUUUUAUAUGGAUUAUUAUCCAAACAAAAUCACUGAUGUGGUCAAAUUAUACGCAAUAGCCUGUCAAGAUCUGUUGCAUCAAUUCACAAUGGAAAUACAAUGAAAUCUAAAAAUGAUUUAAUUAUGACUCACAAUAUAACACAUUUUCAAUAUAUAUUUUCCCCAUUCACUAGGCUACGCUUGACAAGCAGUUCUCUUAUUCCACCACUUGGGCCUGUGUUGUCCAAGCCAUAGCUGUCCAUACAUUUUAAUCCCUGUACCACACGUGUAAUUAUCUAUGAGGUCCCUCAGUUGAGCAGUGAAUUUCAAACACAGAUUCCACGACAAAGAUCAGGGAUGUUUUCCAAUGGGAAAUAACAAGCAGACAUUGAAAAUCCCUUUGCGCAUGGUGACGUUAUUAAUUACACUUUGGAUGGUUUGUCAAUACACCCAGCCACUACAAAGAUACAGGGAUCCUUCAUAACUCAGUUGCCGGAGAGGAAGGAAACCACUCAGGGAUUUCCCCAUGAGGACAAUGGUGACUGUAAAACAGUUACAGAGUUUAAUGGCUGUAGGAGAAAACUGAGGAUGGAUCAACAACAUUGUAGUUACUCCACAAUGCUACCCUAAAUGACAGAGUGAAAAGAAGGAAGCCUGUUCAGAAUAAAACAUAUUCUAAAACAUGCAUCCUGUUUGCAACAAGGCACUAAAGUAAUACUGCAAAAAAAUGUGCAAAGAAAUGUACUUUAUGUCCUGAAUGCAAAGCAUUAUGUUUGGGAAAAAUCCAAUACGAGACAUGACUGAGUACCACUCUUCAUAUUUUCAAUCAUGGUGGUGGCUGCAGCAUGUUAUUGGUAUGCUUGUCAUCGGCGAGAACUAGGGAGUUUUUUAGGUUAAAAAGAAACAGAAAAGAGCUAAGCACAGGCAUAAUUCUAAAGGAACACCUGGUCGUCUGCUUUUAAUCAGACAUCGGAAGACAAAUUCACCUUUCAGCAGGACAAUAACUUAAAAUACGAGGGCAUAUCUACACUGGAAUUGCUUACCUAGACAACGUUGAAUGUUCCUGAGUUGCCUUAAAACAUUUUUGACAUAAAUCAGCGUGAAAGUCUAUGGAAAGACUUGGCUGUCUAGCAAUGAUCAAUAACCAACCAACUUGACAACCAACUUGACAGAGCUUGAAGAUAUUGUACAAUCCAGGUGUGCAAAGCUCUUAGAGACUUACCCAGAAAGACUCACAGCUGUUAUCGCUGCCAAAGGUGAUUCUUUUUUGAAUUCAGGCUGUAACACAACAAAAUGUGGAAUAAGCCAAGGGGUAUGAAUAUUUUCUGAAGGCACUGUAAGUCUGUAUGUGUCGACCUCUUUGUGUCUGUCUUUUGGUCUUCUUCCCUUACUGUCAACAGCUAGUGCUUAUCUUCUCCACAGGCAGUAGGAGGGCCACCCCAGCAGGGCCGGCGGGUGCUCUCUGGGCCUAAUGGGGUCCAUCAGCAUGGUGAUGCCAGGCAGGGCAGGGCAGGCAGCAAUUAAGACAGCCCUGCUGUGCUGUGGCCUUUACACUGCUGGCUUAGAUACACUAAAGCUGGCUACAGACACACACACACACACACACACACACUGAGUUAAGUGGAGGAGGGACUUUCCUAAAGGAAGGUGGAGGAGCUAUUUUAUUAUUAAUCACCGUGGUAACAUGUUUAUAUGUCCUCUUGACAAAAUCCUUGUAAUGUGGUUUGUUUGUACACCGGGUCUUGUUAAACUAAUGGAAUAUCGUAUUGGAAAAUAGUAAACAGUUAACGUUUUGUCAUUUUAGCUCUCUAGGACAUCUCUAGGCUAACGUGCAACUGCGUACAUCACAUAUAGUAUGGUGUGUUGUUUAAAUUGUGACAUAAUGGUGAAAUAGAUUGGCCCUGACCCCAUAGUAGGGUUAUGGACCCUGACCUCAACAAACCCUAGUCCAGACAGCUCAGUGGUGCGAUCAACAAGCUUUGGGAUGAGGGACUCAGACUGAGACUGAGGUUACAGUCAGUCAGUCAGCAGGUGAACGCAGCCAGCCAGCUAGUCACUAAUCCACCAGGGACCAGCCAGUCAUGGGGCUUGAUUACCGCAAAGCUGACCCUGCCAAGGAGCCAGGGCACUAGGCAGACUAGACCAGCCAGCCUCCCAGUUCCAGCUAGCUUUUCCUGUUAGGCCCAAACUAACUGACAGGGAAGUGGGCAGACCAGACCAGCCAGCCUCCCAGACCAGGCAGGCAGGGCAGACUCCCAACCCCAGCCAGCCUUUCACAUGGGCAGCAGCCUGCUAGACUGAACUACUGUUAGGUUACUGCUAGACUGCAAUAUGUUUAGGUUACUGCUAGACUGAUCUACUGUUAGGUUACUGCUAGACUGAUCUACUGUUAGGUUACUGCUAGACUGAUCUACUGUUAGGUUACUGCUAGACUGAACUACUGUUAGGUUACUGCUAGACUGAUCUACUGUUAGGUUACUGCUAGACUGAUCUACUGUUAGGUUACUGCUAGACUGAACUACUGUUAGGUUACUGCUAGACUGAUCUACUGUUAGGUUACUGCUAGACUGAUCUACUGUUAGGUUACUGCUAGACUGAUCUACUGUUAGGUUACUGCUAGACUGAACUAUGUUUAGGUUACUGCUAGACUGAACUAUGUUUAGGUUACUGCUAGACUGAACUAUGUUUAGGUUACUGCUAGACUGCAAUAUGUUUAGGUUACAGCUAGACUGAUCUACUGUUAGGUCACCGCUAGGCUAGCUAAUAUUAGGGUACAGCUAGGCUGAACUACUAUUAGGUU
rnacentral:lncRNA from 13 species